AGGCCAGAUGGCAACUCCAGCGACUGGGGCUGGCAAGCUUUUGCUUUCGAGUUCCGGGAACCAGCCUUUUCUCACGCGCCUCCUGAGACACCUGCCCCGGCGGGCUCCGCCUCGCUCGCCGCGCCUCCUGCUCGUUUCCUUCGCCCGGGGUAGAGUCGGACGGCGAGGGCUGAGGACGGAAGGAGGGGACGGGCAAGGAGGGGAGGAGCAGAGCCGAGGGCGGGAGUCAGUGCCGAGCCGAAGAUCGCUGAGUGGGACGGAGCCGCGGCAUUUGUCGCGGGCACCUUGGCAGGGAACGCAGCGCGCGGCGGCGGCGGCGGCGGCAGCGCGAGGUGGCGAAGGGGUAAUCUCGGCCCGGGCGCGCCCCGCUCCCCCUGAAUGACGGGCGGCAGGUUCGACUUCGACGAUGGCGGCACCUAUUGCGGCGGCUGGGAGGACGGCAAAGCCCACGGGCACGGCAUUUGCACCGGGCCCAAAGGGCAGGGCGAGUACGCGGGUUCGUGGGCGCACGGCUUCGAGGUGGUGGGUACUUACACCUGGCCCAGCGGCAACACCUACCACGGGUAUUGGGCGCAGGGCAAACGCCACGGGCUGGGCGUGGAGACGAAGGGCAAAUGGAUGUACCGGGGCGAGUGGUCGCAUGGCUUCAAAGGCCGCUACGGCGUGCGCCAGAGCCUCGCCAGCCCUGCCCGCUACGAGGGCACCUGGAGCAACGGGCUGCAGGACGGUUACGGCGUCGAGACCUACGGGGACGGAGGUACAUACCAGGGACAAUGGACAGGAGGGAUGAGACACGGCUAUGGUAUGCGGCAAAGUGUUCCUUAUGGCAUGGCGACUGUGAUCCGUUCACCCCUCCGGACAUCUCUAGCUUCACUCCGUAGCGAGCAGAGCAAUGGUACUGUUCUACAUGAUAUCACAGCAGACAGUCCUGCUGGAACUAGAGGAGGGUUUGUGUUGAAUUUUCACAGUGAUCCCGAUAGUGUUGGUAGUAAGAAAAAAGGAGGCCUGUUCAGAAGAGGAUCUCUUCUUGGUAGUAUAAAACUUAGAAAAUCUGAAUCAAAGUCAUCAAUAUCUAGCAAACGUAGCUCUGUCAGGAGUGAUGCUGCCAUGAGCAGGAUUAGUUCUAGUGAUGCCAAUUCUACCAUUAGUUUUGGAGAUAUGGACUGUGAUUAUUCUCCAGUAGAAGACCAUGUUGAUGCUACCACCACAGAAACCUAUAUGGGUGAAUGGAAGAAUGACAAGCGUAAUGGCUUUGGUAUUAGUGAGCGUUCAAAUGGUAUGAAAUACGAAGGCGAGUGGCUAAACAACAAGAGACAUGGGUAUGGAUGUACUAUGCUUCCAGAUGGCACCAAGGAAGAGGGAAAGUAUAAAAACAAUGUUUUGGUCCGUGGAAUAAGGAAGCAGCUUAUACCAAUAAGGAACACAAAAACUAAAGAAAAGGUGGAGAGAGCACUUGAAGGUGCCCAGCGUGCAGCUGCCAUGGCUAGAACUAAAGUAGAAAUUGCAACCUCCAGAAGUAGAGAUUCCUGUGUGGUGCUGAAAGAUCCUCAACAAUUGACUUCUUUGUUUUCCAUUGAGCUGUACCACCCUGGCAACAAGUCUGCGAAUGAAUAAAUUCUUUGAUCCACAAGAUCCAUACAUGCAUCCAACAUGCUGUCAAAUUGGCAAUCCCUCUACUACAGGGCUGUUAAACUUGCGGGCCAGAUGGGUCACACGCUGACCACGCCUACGCCUGGUAUAGCGAAGGGGGGGAACGUCCUGAUACAUCAUAUGAUGCCGCCGUGAUGCCACGAGUUUUACACCGCUCUUCUACUACCAGGGAUCUCUUGCUUUAUUCUUUCAUUUAAAUUCUUCUUUACUAAAAUGUUAAUUUUAUUCAACUUCAGCACUAUUACUAGAUAUAACUUCUAUACAGGAGUGAAAUCUACUUACCUUCCCUACUGGUUCAGAAGGGCACAUGAUGUGUGUGUGUGCUUUACACACACAUGCCGACCCUCUGCGCAUGCGCAAACCCUUCUGCACAUGAGCAGAGGGUAAAAAACAGAUUACUGGGUAGGUGGGCGGAGCCUUGAGCUACCAUUGCUAUCAGUUCUCUGAACCACCAACCGUCAUCACUACCAGUUUGGCCAAACCGGGAGCAUUUCUGUUGUGACUCCAGCCCCCGAACCUGGCCCCAUGCCCGGAAGUAACUUGGAGCCAGGCCUGCUGUCAGAAAGUGACUUGGACAGUGAGGGGGAAAGGCUGUCAGGACUUACCUUGGGAGCACCGGCUUCCCUGGCUCAGUUCCAGGAGCCAGAAGCAGGCCAGGUGGAAGAAAUAAUGAGGCCUAGGAAGUGCUGAGUCAUGGAGCCACACCCCACAGGAUAUAAAAGGCAGUGAGAGCUGGUGUGUUUCUUUGUAACAGGCAAAUCCACUGAUUGACUAGAGCUGAAGUUUGUGACUCACCAGCGUCGUGGAAAAUAACGAGGACUCUUGGCAGACGCUGGCUGCCAGAACUGAUAGUGCCGGCUAAUUAAGCCAUCAUUCGGACAGAGGCAAGGAGGACAGAACAAUUUCACCCCUGCUUCUAUAUCAUGCUUAAAUCACAUUAACCAAGCUGAGUUUCUUUUAAGUAUAGAAGGCUUAUGUAAAAUGCAUUAAUUGGUUUAUUAGAUUGCGAUAAUAUGUGACAUAUGCUGGGAAAGGGACAGAAAUAGUUUAGUCUGUUGCUCCUGUUUGAUCUCACAACAAGUUUUAAUAUCAUCAUUGUUAGUCCUUUGAGAUAGGCCAUAUCAGGGAAUCAAUUCCACAAGCUUGACUGGAACUACUAUAUGUUUAUUGAUAUAGACAAUUGUAGUUGCUGUCUCUGCAUAGUUUCUUUAAGGUCAUCUCUAAAACUUUCACCACGGUAUUUUCCUGGUUUGGCUCCGGAGAUUUUGAAUAUUUGUAGCAUUUUUAUGUAUUUAACUUCAGAUAGAGCUAUUUCCAAAAAAUAGUAUUGGAAGAUUAUAGGCCAGUCCCUAACAAUUGUUAUGUGAGACAGACCAAAAAAAUGCAUUGUCUUCAAUGGAAUUUCAUAUCUGUAAAAACUAGUGAGGUUACUAAAGAAUUCCUGAAAGAUAUCUCAUACUAUAUUUUUAUAAUAUAGGAAUUCUAGAAGGCUGUGCAUGGUUUUGAGUCCUGUGGUGGAUUGGAUAAAAUUUACUAAUCUAAAAUGAAUUUUAGAUUAGUAGAGUAAUCUAGGAGUAGGGCCUUCUCUGUUGGAGCAUCGACGCUCUGGAAUGAACUUCCCCCUGGCCUACGUCAAGUGCCUGAUCUUCGGACCUUCCGUCGUGAGCUAAAAACAUAUUUAUUUAUUCAAGCGGGACUGGCAUAAUGGUUUUAAUAGUUUUAAUCUUAAACUGGGGUUUUUAUUGGGUUUUCUAAAUUCUUUUAUAAUUUUAAAUUUAAACUUUUAAUUAUCAGCCUUUUGUAAUUUGCUAGGUUUUAAUUGUUGGUUUUAAUUGUAUAUGUCUUGUGUUUUAUCUUUGGCUGUACACCGCCCUGAGUCCUUCGGGAGAAGGGCGGUAUAAAAAUUUAAUAAAUAAUAAAUAAUAAUAAUAAUUUCAUAAGGCAGAAAAGUUGGGAUUGCAUUGCUCUAGACACUGAGCCCAGGUGACACCUUUCCUUGUUGGUUUUAUUUUAACUGCUAUAUAGAAAUGGACCAGAAGACAUUUGUUGGGUCAUGUGAAGAAUUUUCAGGACAUCUAGGCAAUAAAAUGGCUCACAGUUGGACAUCAGUUGAGCAGGACUAACAAGAUGAUGUGGGCUACCUCUUGCAGGUUUCAAGGAUGAAUUUUAAUCUCAGUCCUGAAGAAGUGGGCAAAGUUCUCUGCUAUUUUGAAGCUUAGAUCCCUGUUCUUCAUGGUUGUUGAAAGCCUUUAGGAGAUAGGAGGCUGAGUUUGGGUGAUAGUAAAUGGUUCUCUGAAGAUGUACUUUUGUCUGCCUGACCACUUCAAUUGUUAUGUAUCAGCGGAAAAGAAAUGCUGUACUAACUGCAUACCAGAACAGAUUUCUAAACUUUGUCAUUUCCCUCUAACUUUUUUUUUUUCAGAACUAAAAGCUAAACAUCUGGAGCCUGUGGUCUUCCAAAUUUUGCUAAAGUAGAUUUCCCAGCACAUUAUUGAUUAUUUGAGCUAGAAAGUUGUCAUUCAUCAAAUCUGGAGGGUCAUAGAACUGCACAUGCAAGAGCUAAAGCAGAUGCUGCAGAACAAGCCUCUCAGUCUGCUCGUCAGGAAUGUGAUGUUGCUAGAGCAGUUGCCAGAGAACUAUCUCCGGG